ensembl:lncRNA
AAUACAUAUAUACUGCAGAGCGCCGGUCAGUGUUUCUUCUCGCCGUUUUCAGCUUUCGCCUGAUGGGGCCACCCUUGCACCUCUUGGAGUCCCCAUCUUUUUUUUUUCUCUCUAGCUCUCUCUCUCUCCUAAACGCACACGCCCGGAUGGAUGACUUCACUGUUCCGCCCGGGUUUCCUUUAUGAUCGCGGGUUCUCCCGUAUCUUACAGCAGACUAACCCGACCGCUGAUGUAGUCGUACACUCAGCCGCGCACUCUCUCUCUCGCUCGCGCUCGCUCUCUCAUUCUGCACCGAGCACUCCAAUCCAUUUGGAAGUUGGCGGUGCGAGGGGUCUGACAUUUACGCGCGGGGAUAUCUACGCAAAAACAACAACAACAAAAAACAUAAGUGCACUUGUUUUGCGGGGAUAGUUGCCACAUCCACCGUAGCUGCCUAUUUAUAUCAGUUCAUUAGCGCCUUCUGAGUCGCGAGCCCGUCCUUCAACAGUCAUGUCCGAGGUUCUGCCGUACGGAGAGGGGAAAAUGAGCGGAUACGGAGCGGACAACGAUGUCAGUCAGAUGUCCUUCAGCUGCGGGCUGCAGGACACCAACUCGUUCUUCGGAGCGUCGCAGGCGAAAAGACCUCCAAAACUUGGACAGAUCGGCAGAGCGAAGAGAGUGGUCAUCGAGGACGACCGAAUAGAUGAGGUGCUAAAAGGCAUGACCGACAAAUCAUCACCGGGCGUGUAAACCCGCGCGAUGCCUGGCAGACAUUUCAAUUUUUAUCACCGAUUCGAAGCACUUGUCGGUUGUGCAUGUGAAGAAGAUUGCAAAGAGAUGGAGAGACGGUGGCACGACGCUCGAACCACGGGGAGACUAAACUAAAAAGGGGAAAAGGAGAAUUAAAGAAGGGAGAGACGGAAUUUCCUUUGGGGUUUGCUGGCAAUUCUCCAAUAUAAACGACAACCCGAAUGGAAGCUUUGAGGAAGAUGUCGGAGAUGUUGAGGCUGUGGCUCUGUGAAUAAGGAUGGAUUGAUUUGCCAUUAUUAUUCCACGACCAUCAUCUUCCAAAUGCGCAGUAAACAAAACAAAGUUCAACCGAAGACUGAACCGCAUCUUACGCUGUUACUAUAGAUGUACAGUAUCUUAGCUCGAAGACCUACCCCUUAACACACAAACACACACACGCACACGCACACAUGGAUCUGCCUUGAGCGUCGACUUCAAUCCGACUGCUGCUUUUAGAGACAUUUUAGAUUUAACACACACAAAGACAUUAAGCUCCCAUAAUGAUAAAUGAACUAUAUAUACGGAUGAUGCAAUGUGAAUAUUUUCUCUCGCUAUUUUGCGUCAUAUUCUUUUUCAGAGAUUAUCAUACACAUGCCCACAGGUGUUGAAGCGUGUAGUCUUUAAAGCGUCGUUUGGUGAUCUAUUGUUUUGCUCUUCACUGCAGCUGAUUUGCGCACCUGCGCCACGGAUUCACAUCAUCAGUACAAGCACAGAGGAACAUUGUGCAUUACCAACUCUUGUAAUUAACCCAACAUGAAUGCAUCUCGAUUUCUUCCAAGCCUAAGUUUUUGAUUUUUUUUUUUUUCAUCAGCUCCUCACAUUUCUUUUGUCGUGUCCAUCUCUUUGCAUGAACUUUCACUCUGGUGCCAACAGAGGUGCCACCAUGAAUCUUACCCUGGCACGCUUCUUUUUAAAAAAAGUCAUAUUUGUAUUUUUAUAUCUAAAUAUUUGUUAUUUAAAAUGAUAUUCUAGUAUGUCGUCUUAAAGAUUCAUCAACAAUGAUGUUUAUAUUUCAGAGAAAAAUCUUUAGAUGGGGACAACAGUAUAAUUCAGUUGGGUUGGAAUGUUUUUUUUUUUUUAAAAACCUUGAUGAAUGAAUGCUUCUCUGCUUUUUUGAACACACACAUCCAUGUUCAACUACUGUUAUGGAAAUCGUAAACUGUGACUUGAGCAUUGUUAAUGAAUUUGUUAGAAAAAUGGCGAUAUUAGAAAUCUACUGCACUUUUUACGAAUAUCUUAAGAUAACUUGUUAUUUGACAGGUUUUUGGACAUUACGUUUCUUCUGUUGAUUUUGUUUGAAUUUUUUUGCUUUGUUUUGUACCAUUAUUCUAAAGAAACUGACUAUGGUUUGUUGUGCAUGAAACCUUAAUACUUUUCAAUAACGGAACAUCGUUUUAUUAAGCAAAAAAGCAACAAAAAAUGUCAUGACAUUCUAAGAAUGAAUCAUUGCAUAUUAUAAUACCAUUUUCACUGUAUUUGGUGAACUAAUAAAUGGUGGAAGAACAUAUAGAUGUGCAUUUCUGUUGUCAUUUGACUGCAUAACAAAGAAGUCAACAAGUCUGAUGCAAAUAUUGAUUUUGAGGUCAUCACAACACACCCACAGCCUGCUGGUGAACCCAUCUGCAUUUAGAGACAGGCCUACUAAUAAACAAGGCAAAAAUACUAUCCAUCAAAUGAUGAAACAAGUAUGGUCACAUUUAAAAAUAUCCCCAGCGGUUUAAAAUGCUAGAUCAAGCUGUUUUUGUCUAAUGAAAUAUUAAUGUUUCAAUAUAAUUCAUGUCAGAAUGGUUGCAUCUUAUCACACUAAGCUCACAAUCAUGACAGGGAGAUUUGAGCUGUGCUUCUACAUUUACUUGAAGAUCUUCUGCACAUCAAUAUAAAAUAGAGAUUGGAAGAUGAAAUUUAGGUCUUGAAAUAAUUUGACUGUUUUCUUGAAAGGGAUAGUACAUCCCAAAAUUAAAAGUCAAUUCAUCUUUAUUUCUGUAGUCCUUUUACAAUUAGGAUUGUUAAAGCAGAUUCACAAAGACAAGCAGGAAAAUAGCAGAAUCGAUUAUGGAGACUUGACUAUGGAGAUUCAGACUGUGCCAUAAAGCAGCUCUUAAAGACAACAGUUUCAUGAUUUAGCUCAAGAGAAUUCAAGAUCAAGUUCAUCAAUUUGAGUUCAAUUCCACUAUAAGCAGUUCUACAAAAGUCAGCAGUAUCAUUAUUCAUUUCGACUCAGUUCAGUGUUGAAUCAAUUCAGCUCAACAAUAGGGUCAAUAUUGUAAGAUGUGACUCAGAAAAUUCAGCCACCAUUUAAUCACCUUCAUGUUGUGCCAAACCUGUAUGACUUUCUUCUGUGAAACACAAUAAAAGUGUUUUUUGUUUGGUUCAUACAAUGAAAGUUAUUUGGGUCCAAUUUUGUUUGGACCCCAGCAAUCUUCAAAAUAUCUUCUUUUUAUGUUCUGCAUAAGAAAGAAGGUCAUACCUUUAAUCUAUGAUGAUGUGGCACCUUAAAAACAUGACCAGGAGAAAAAUAACAGUGAUAGUGGUAUUUUUAUUUUUGGCAAGGCUGGUCAUUUAAGCUGAUUGAUGCUUCCACACAGCUUGGACAGAGCAACACAGGCUAAUUCCUGUUUACACCAAUGCUGUAAAAGACAAAAAAAAA